rnacentral:rRNA from 1 species
UACGUAGGGGGCUAGCGUUGUUCGGAAUUACUGGGCGUAAAGGGCGCGUAGGCGGUCUUGUAAGUCCUGUGUGAAAUCCCUCGGCUCAACUGAGGAACUGCACGGAAUACUGCGAGACUUGAGUUCGGGAGAGGGAAGCGGAAUUCCGGGUGUAGCGGUGAAAUGCGUAGAUAUCCGGAGGAACACCGGUGGCGAAGGCGGCUUCCUGGACCGAUUACUGACGCUGAGGCGCGAAAGCUAGGGGAGCAAACGGG